rnacentral:snRNA from 1 species
GUACGGACAAGGGGAAUCCGACU